AGUUAAAUGGCUGAUAAAAGCAAUAGAUUGUAAAUCUAUAUAUGAAAAAUAUUUUUCUUUAACUA
rnacentral:tRNA from 1 species